AAACCAUGAUGAGGACACUCUAAGAGAAGAUCUUUGAAACGUUCCAUACACCUAGAAAACGAUUCAUUGGGUUUUUGCUGGAGAAUGUCGUCCCUAAGUUU
rnacentral:snoRNA from 1 species